CGGCCUCAAUUAGUCCUGGUUCCAUGAUUGAUUCCUAGACACAUCUUGUGUAAUAAAAUAAAUUGACAUCAGGUUUGAGUUUCAUAAGCUAAGUAAACAUCACGAACCUUUUCUAGCUGGGCCUAGAAAAUUGUAUCCUGCUUGAUUCAAAAAUUGAGAUCAUAAUUACCCAAAAGAGUGGACUUCUAUACAAACCACCUACUCAAAACCAUUAUCCAAUCACUGAAUUUCUAUCACUGUGAAGUUCAAGUUACAAUAUAUGGUAUUUUGUUGAAAGAAUAGCAUGAAUCUACAUACUAGCCUCUUUUAGUUAUUCUUUUUACUUUUCAUCAUGAUCUUGUUAUUAUUAUACCAAAAAAGUCAUGAUCAUAAUUACCCAAAAGAGUGGACUUCUAUACAAACCACCUACUCAAAACCAUUAUCCAAUCACUGAAUUUCUAUCACUGUGAAGUUCAAGUUACAAUAUAGAGUAUUUUGUUGAAACAAUAACAUGAAUUUACAUUUUUAAGAUCAUUAUCUCUUCCGCUUAAACGGGACGCUAGCUCCAAUAACGCGACCGUCUUCGCCGUUGCCAUGGCCGCCGCGAAGCACCUCUCCCUCAUCCGCCGCGCCUUCCCCGCCCGCCGCCUCCUCUCCACCGCCACGGCCGCCGUCGUUGAUCCGCCUCCACCCAUGGCGNN
rnacentral:lncRNA from 1 species